AAGGCUUUAAGUUAAUUAAACUAUUAUCCUUCAAAGCUAAAAAUGAAGUGAAUUCUUUAAGCCUUA
rnacentral:tRNA from 1 species